AUGUUUAUAGAUCACUACAUGUUCCGUUGGAACAUUGUGAGGUCCUUUUUCCAGUUUGCUACUAAAUUCUCAAAAAAGAAACGUUCUUAUGCAUCACCAUCAUGUGGAACCACGAUACCUGAACCAAUGAACUCAGUGAACAUUUAUUAUAUUUAUUAUGGAUCAUUACAUGUUCUGCUGGAACAAGGUCAGUUUGGAGUAGUCUAUUUUGGCUACUUGAAAGAUGGAACCCCAGUUGCAGUCAAAACACGCUUAGAAUCAUCAUCUCAUGGGGUUAAUGAGUUCUUGGCAGAGGCUCUACAUCUAAUAAGAGUUCAUCACAGGAACUUGGUCAAUCUGGUUAGCCACUACAAGGAUGGACACCACUCAACUCUUGUCUACGAGUAUAAAUUGCUAAUUUGCAUUGCUCUUUCGUGCAACAAGUGCGUUGAUACUUACAAACAACGAGGAGCACCGGAAGCGAGGGAGGGCAUGGCUGCACUAGAGGUUGUCCCAAGGCGAGGGCAGGGCAGAGACAUGCAACAAUGA
rnacentral:rRNA from 1 species